UGACGCUGCCACCAGGAUUUGAAGAUAAGGUUGUUGUUUGUCGGUGAUGCAUUCGAGUCACUGUGCAUCAGCACAAACCUUUCAACAAGCUUUUCUCUACAAGCUCUCUGCCUGGAAUAACGCUGAGUCUGCUUUCAACACCUACACCGUGACAAUAAGGAUCCGAGAGCGUCACCGUCUGCAAGCGCUGACCCAACUUCCUCUGUGUGCACUCAACAGAAAUGAUAAGGCUUCAACUUCCCCCUCCACCCUGACUCGGGCAAACAGCUGCCCUGCACCCCGAGACUCGGCCCUCCGUGUCGGCAUCGGGCCUGACUGCACGUUGCUCUGUGUGGACUUGAUGGAGCAUGCAGAUAAGGCGCACUGUUGUGGCUGGGUUGCCUUUAAAGCAGUAUGCGAUCGUUGGUAGAUAGGUUCUAGCAAGUAACCCCGGUGUUUGGAUCCCUUUGUGUCUGCUUGUGUGUGCAUGUAUGACUGAGUAGUCAUGGAAAAGUACUCAUAUCCUUCACUUAAACAAAGCAAUAUAGCGGUUCAAAAAUACGUCAUUAUGUGCACGUGCAAAUCUGUUUUUUUCUCUUUAUUUUUUUAUAUAUAUAGUUAUCAGCAAAAUCUCUUUUAAGCAUCAAAAGUGAAAAUACUCAUUCAGUAGAAAAUGAUGACCAAACAUGAUUGAUGGUGUUUUUAUGUGUGUGUGUUUUUCAUGUCUAAGAUCUUUGUUUAUUCUUGUAAAUGAGCUCUAGCCUGCAGAAUUUCCAAAGCGGUUAUAUAUCAAGUACAAAAAUGACCUUAUGACUUUGCACUGCUGUACCUACUCCAACCAGUCCUUUAUGGACACUUAAAAUAUCUUUAUGAAACUGUUGUUAUAUUUGUUGCAAGCUUUGCUGCCCUCUUGGCCUGAUCUCUAAAAAAGAAAAUCACAAUGAGACUUUUUAUCAGGGUAAAUGAAGAAUAUAUAAAAGUCAUUUUUAUAUAUAACAACGAUUGCAGCUUGUACCUCGUGACAAAAAUGUUCUUUCAACUUCAAAAUGAUUUAACGGCAGAUAUGAUUGACAGGAUCUUUCUUUAUCCCAAGUGCUGCUACUGAAGGUGUUGUGGGUAUCAAGGAAAAACAUGGGUUGAGGCUUACGGAAAUGAAUAAAUUGUGAAACAGCUACAAAAAUUAAAUAAACAUAGAUUUUUUUUUACAAAUAUAUCCUAAAAAUAUAUAAAAUGCCAAAAAGUGAUGCUUAAAGAUAGAGAUAAAUAACAGAAGCUUAAAGCAGCAGAUAAAAUACUUAAGACAAGAUUAAAAUAAUGGAUAAACUCUUGAAAUACAUAAAACAACCACCCCAGUCAAACCUGCCUAAUAUUGCAGAGGUUCUGUGCUGCGUUGGCAGCAGAUCUUUUGGUUCCUGUGGCUUUGAUGGCUGCCUCAGCGGAUCGGUUUUGUUCCAGUGCAACUUGCAGCGCUUGGCCAGAUCGGAAAGUAGGGACUUUGGAGCUGAGUCAGCUUCGCUUUUUCUUUGUGUUACUUUAGCUGUUCCCCAGAGGUCUGUGCAGCGCCUUUCUGAUUGUAACUGCUGCCGCUGGGCAGUGCCAUAGUAUGAAUAGAUGUAUGUUUGGGUACAUGAUGUGUCAAACUAAAAAUCCACAAUCAAAACUAGGACCCAUAGUUUCCCCAUUAAAAUGUUGCUUUCACUUCACUGGAAAGUAGUGGAUCUGAUAGUUAAAAGCAAUGGCUAAACUACUACUCUGAUCUUUACAGUUGCAAGAAAAAACUCUGGGAACUCUUUGGAAUCGUAGAAACAUAGUCAAGGAGUCUGGCACAGCUUCACCUGUUUCCAGGCUGCACAGAGAAGCUUAAAGCUCUUCAGCUUGUAGUCUUCAGCAGGGAUGACACACACUCGUUAUGCAUCAUCACUGAAGUCCAUUGACACAACAGGACUCAGGUUCAGCUCUGCCGGCCUUUCUCCCAUCAACACCCUUCCAGGUUUCAGUUAUCACUGGCCUCAUAAGCAGCUGAGGUGCCCCAGCAGGACAACGAGGUCUCAGAUCAAGGAUUUCCCAGCACCCUUUUCUGGGACUCUAAGAAAGCCGGGUACUCUGAGCCAUUGGCACAUAAAUGUUAAUAACAGUCAGGGCCCGUUCUUGACCCAAGGAGCGAAGCUACCCUCUCACCCACCGGAGAAAAAUCCUGUGUAGAGGCACCAAACAGCUCUGGCUCUUUCCUGAAAUACUGCAAAGAAUGAGUUAAACUACAGUUUUGAAGUUCUUGCACUUUACCUGACUGUCUUGUUUUCAGGUUAGUUUACUGACGUGUUGUAAAGAAAUGUUGCAUUUUCCAAUUCAGACAUACUGACAUCCUACUGUGUUUCCAAGGUAACAAAUCAGUCCGCACCAUGAUGAGGUUUUGAUGUUACUGUGCACCACCUUUGGCUCAAGGUCAACUUUUGCCUCCUCUGUCCACAGGACAUUGUCAAAAAAGUGUUGUAGAUCAUAAGGGUAGUUUUUAGCAAAGCACAAAGACGUAAUUUAUUACCAUCAUUCUUGCUCCGUGUUUGAGACUGUUACACAGUGUAGAGAUGUGAGAUUUGAAACAAAACGUACAGUGAAAAGGAGACACGAAAGUGACGUUUAAGGCCUUCAGAAUUCAGGGAAACACAAAAAGGAACUUAGACACAAUCUAUAAACAGUGCCUGUGUGGCCCACACCAGAUCUGCUGACAUGUAAAUGAAGACCGAAGUAUGUCAGAGCAGCUUGGCAGACAGCCUACAUGCAGCUCAGGGUGCAACCAAAGAUGCCAAUACCUCGACUCCACUCUACCAUGUCAGUCAGUCUAAUUAAAACCCCAACACAAUAGUGGGGCCGUUUUCCUUUCUCUGGAUCCGUUUAUGUGUUUUAGCAGUUUGGCUCAGAAAUAUUAUAUGAAAGAGCCCAGAGAAUAGACCUUUGUCUGCUUCUAUAGUUUGCAAAGUGCCCCCCCCCCCCAUUGCUUUAGGCAGAGGAUGUAAAAAAAAAAAGUAAGAUUACUUCACUUUGAAGUUUCACACAGGGGCCCCUAGCCAAGCAUAUGCUAUCAAUACUCUGACAGCCUGACCCAGAAACUUUUGAUGACCAUGCAGCUGGUGAACACGGGAAGUAUGCUUUAAAAACUGGUUAAAAUUGAGAUCUGUAGAAUUAUUCUCAUACACACCUCUCUGGUGUCUACACACCAAUGUGAGAUAAAAAUUUGCAUUUUCCUUCUUAAUAUGUGCACAUUUGAGAAAGUGACAGUUAAAAGAAAUAUAAAAAGAAUAAAGAAAGUUUUUUUAAAAUUAAAUUCAACUGAUGCACUUCGCAACGGUGGGAAGAAAAAGCAGGAAGACUCCUCUGGCAGGACCAAGCUCAGGAGAAAGAGGGAGAGACAGAUUAACAAUGACUAAUGAUUAAAUGUGUAAAACGCAUAAAAUAAAGUUAAAGGUGUUGUUUCUCUUAGCAUUAAGUUUUACUCAUUUAAUCAAUAUUCUUUUUUAUGUUUUCCCUACUAUUCUCACUUAAAUCUUUCAUAUAAUCUAUUUUAAAAAAGGAAAAAACAAAAAAACCCCAAACAACAACAAAACCCCAAACAAUAACAACAACAACAACAAAGAAAUUGGGAAUUCAAAGUCGGGUAAUUUUAUUUUACAGUGCAACAGCGACAUCUUGUGUCCUUACGAGGAAUCACAAGCUACGCUUCAACGAUGCAGUGAACAUUUAUCGCCAGCGGGCGUCGCUGUUGAGUUGUACUGCGUUGACUGCACAGACAGCAGAAGUCAACCAAAGAAUUUCUUCUACAGCUGUCGCCAUCUUGCUCCAGAACAUAAACAACACCACCGAGUCCGGUUAGCGUUUGGGUGUACCGCUAUUUUUCUUUUUUUUUGUUUUUACUUUUCUGUUUUUGGAAGAAAACAGCAAGUCUUCCGGCCUCAGCGCCGAUCCUUUCAAACGGAGAUGAUGUUUGAUGUGGUCACCUGAGCCGCCGUGUCAGUCGGUAUGACAGUCGUCAGCUGAUACAUGGGGAUCCACUGCGGAUUUCCUUACCGGGAGGGAGCGGAGGUUUAAAGGGGGGCGGGGAGAGCAGCAGAGGGGGCUCGCUGCUCGUCAUCCCCGAAGAAAUGGACCAAGAGUACGAGAGACGGCUGCUGAGGCAAAUCAACCACCAGAACCUGCCCGCAGAGGCCCGCCUGACCAAGUGUUUGAGUGCUACCUGCAGUCCUGUCAGUGUGAAGUCAGGGGACCGCUUCAUCCCUACUCGAGCUGGAAGCAACUGGAGCAUCAACUUCCACUAUGCCAAUGAGAACUGUCGCUCUCCCAGUCAGAACCAUAAAGCAAAGGAUGCCACUUCAGACUCAAGCAAAGAUGCUGUGGCCUAUGCUGCCCUGUUGAGGAAUGAGUUGCUCGGGGCCGGGAUCGAGACGGUGCCAGACCCUCACACGGAAGACCGUCGGCACGCAGUCCUCUCGCAGGACUCUCACAGUCUUUUUAGGUACACUGUCCACACUAAGAGAGUGCCUUUUGAUAGUGACAAUGAAGUCUCACCAUACUCCCUUUCUCCACUUAGUAACAAAAGUCACAAGCUGCUCCGCUCUCCCCGUAAACCAGCCCGAAAGAUCUCCAAGAUCCCCUUCAAAGUGCUCGAUGCUCCGGAGCUGCAGGAUGACUUCUACCUCAACCUGGUGGACUGGUCAGCGGGCAACCUGCUGAGUGUCGGCCUGGGAGCCUGUGUCUACCUGUGGAGUGCCUGCACUAGCCAGGUGACGAGGCUGUGCGACCUGUCAGUGGACGGAGACUCUGUUACGUCAGUGUGCUGGAACGAGAGGGGGAGCCUGGUCGCCGUCGGGACGCACAAAGGUUACGUUCAGGUGUGGGAUGCAGCAGGAGGGAGGAAGCUGACCAGUUUGGAAGGCCACUCAGCCAGAGUAGGUGCCCUGGCGUGGAAUGGGGAGCAGCUGUCUUCUGGCAGUCGAGACCGAGUGAUCCUACAGCGGGACGUCAGAACACCGCCUUCUGCUGAGAGAAGGCUGCAAGGCCACAGACAGGAAGUGUGCGGUCUCAAAUGGUCUCCCGAUCACCAGCACCUUGCAUCUGGAGGCAACGACAACAAGUUACUGGUGUGGAACAGCUCCAGCCUUCUCCCUGUGCAGCAGUACAGUGACCACCUGGCAGCAGUGAAGGCCAUCGCCUGGUCUCCGCACCAACACGGGCUGCUGGCGUCAGGCGGAGGCACGGCCGACCGCUGCCUGCGUUUCUGGAACACGCUGACGGGUCAGGCUCUGCAGAGCACAGACACCGGCUCCCAGGUCUGCAACCUGGCCUGGUCCAAACACGCCAACGAACUGGUGAGCACACACGGCUACUCUCAGAACCAGAUUCUGGUGUGGAAGUAUCCAUCGCUGACACAGGUGGCCAAGUUGACGGGACACUCCUACAGAGUCCUGUAUCUGGCUGUGUCACCAGACGGGGAGGCCAUCGUUACAGGAGCGGGUGACGAGACACUACGAUUCUGGAACGUCUUCAGUAAGACGCGCUGUACCAAGGAAUCAAAGUCAGUACUUAACCUCUUCACGAGAAUACGAUAGUAAACGGCCCGGGGGUCGGGACGGUCCUCUGGAGGAGCCUGCCGGGCUGUGGCUGAAAUACACAGAGUCAAACAACGACACUCAGACUAGCCUCGCCGCACAAACUCUCAUCCUUUUCUACAAAAGGAUGGAGGCAAAACUUUGACGGACAACUGCCAUCCCUCACAGUGAUGUCACCGAUUCCAGAGAAAAAUAACACACACACAGAAACAGAAGUCUUUUGUCACAAUUUGUCGUCUGCUUAUCAAGUUGAUCUCGUUCUUUUUUUUUUGUUUUUUCCUGUUGUGAAAAGUGAUCAAGUCGUUUCCUUAUCUAUCAGCAGAAGUACACCUGUGCAAGAGUUCUAAGCUAUGUAAUGUAAUGUAAGAGGUUUUUUAAGAGGCGCUCCUUUGUAACAGAGAGAAGAUGAAGCCUGACCUGGGUGGGUUUCUUUCGUUAGAUAAUGUGUGAAUAUGAUCUACAGCAGUAUGCAACAGAAGAGGGAAGUGAACAAACACGACCGGUGCUCAGGUGGCUGCAGCAGAGUUUCAUGUGUUUAUUGGUGUUUUGUCAGUGUUCAUAGACAUGAAGCACGGGUUUGGAACCUUGCGCAUUCCUGCCUAUAGAUACGAAAAUGCCACCCUGACUCUUAUUUCAUUUUAUCCUGCUUUAGAUAUUUUAUUAAAAAACAUGUCGCACAGAGACCCGAUUAUCUUAUAAGUGUCCACUCAGUGUGUCUGUGGGAGCGUCUUGUUUUCCAGUCGUGCUUUGUUAAGUCUCAUUUAGCACCAAAGCGUUUCUGAAAACGAGGAUGAGCUGUGGAGCCUUUCUCAAAGACCCGGUGAGGAAGUCGGAUGCAACGCUGGCAGUUCAGACUAGUAAUCUGAGUAUCCGGACCCCUGCAGACCUCGGCAGAGCAAAGCGAACUCCUUCACAAUCUCCUUAACGCGGCGCUUGUUGGUUUGUUCCCUUAGAGAGGGGGAAAAAAGAGAAAAGAUUUGGCUGUUGGACAGAUUUGUAUUUUAAAUCAUCUCCAAAGCUCAUUGAUGAUAAAAUGUCAUUUUAUAAAUGAGCCAAAUAUCAUAAA